UUGAAAUUAUCUGCAUAUGACUUGACCUUCAAUAGUGGCGUUUGACGCUUUCUAACCACAUAUUCCCAACCAUGUCGCUCAGCAAAUGCCUUUGCAGCUUCUUCACUAUCAAAACUGAGUCCGGCAUCACCAACAUUGGCAUAUGGAUCCCCUGUGGAUGUCCAACCCAUCAAUGGAUUUUCCCACUUUUGCGUUGACAUAAAAUUGAUUUUCCACCUUCCAACUUUUCCAGAUCCUUGUUGUGUUGCAGUUCUAGCUGGUGAGUAAAUUACCACCCUCCUGCGAAGGUGCUCUUCGGGGAUCCCAGAGACCAUACCGAUCUCGCCGGGCUUGGCCUGCGCCUCCACCAAUGCGUCCGU
rnacentral:misc_RNA from 1 species